rnacentral:rRNA from 1 species
CCUACGGGAGGCAGCAGUAAGGAAUCUUCCACAAUGGACGAAAGUCUGAUGGAGCAACGCCGCGUGCAGGAUGACGGUCUUCGGAUUGUAAACUGCUUUUAUAUGGGAAGCGGUACCAUAUGAAUAAGGACCGGCUAACUACGUGCCAGCAGCCGCGGUAAUACGUAGGGUCCAAGCGUUAUCCGGAAUCACUGGGCGUAAAGCGUGCGUAGGUGGCGUGUUAAGUGUGAUGUUAAAUCGUGGGGCUCAACCCUAUCGCUGUAUCACAUACUGGCAUGCUAGAGGACGGCAGAGGCAAGUGGAACUCGUAGUGUAGCAGUGAAAUGCGUAGAUAUUACGAAGAACACCAAUGGCGAAGGCAGCUUGCUGGCCCUCCUGACACUGAGGUACGAAAGCGUGGGGAGCGAACAGGAUUAGAUACCCUUGUAGUC